CAAUCCAAACCACUAAGUGUAUCUGGUCACCAGCAAUUGGACCUGCCUGAGCUUCUUGUAUCUGAUCACCAGCAAUUGAACUUGCCUAUCUGCCAUUUUCAUCUAGUUGGAAAUGAUGUAGUUUACUCAAUGGUGUGUAGACUGUCAACAUGUGAAACCUACAUAGUCUCCUCUGUUAAAGAUCACUAAUGGUGGAUAAACAAUGAGUGAUGCAGACUGUUCACCAAAAGGGAGUUUUGACACCUGUAUGCCUAUAUUUCUACCAAUCACCCUGUUAUCUUUUUUGUCAUGUUCUUUGGACAGGUAAAAUAACAAGGUAAAACAAGUAGAAAGAAAAGGCUGGAGCAAAGAUGAGAAAAGCACCAUAUGCCAAGGGUUUGUAAGGAGAGUAGCAGAUCAGAAACCUUUGACUAGAGAAGAUGUGAAUGGAGACAGAUUCUGAUGAUGCCAUCAUUGGGAGGCAGGAUGACUAUAAGACACUAAUUCCUCAUCCAUAAAGAUUUCUACAAGUGGUUCAUUUGAAAUGAAUACAGAUUUCAUUACAAGACGUGUGCAUGGUGCAACAUCCUGGAUGGUGUGUAGUAUGUUUGUUAACAUGUGAAGCCUACGUGUAUU